rnacentral:lncRNA from 1 species
UGGAGCUUUGAUGUAUUUCAAAAUUUAUGUACUUUAAUACACUUUAUUAACUAGUUGAAGUAAAUUGAUGGUUCGACUUUGAUUAUUUUCUCGUUAACCAUGUACUGAGUGUUAUUUUUUAUUUUUUAUUAACAAUUGAAGUAAAUUGUUGAUAUUUCAUUUCAUCCUUAUGCUCUAUUAGUAUUUAUAUUUGCUAACUCAUGC